AUUGACUGGUUGAUCAGAAGCCUGAAGUUCGUGACAGGUUCAGUAGCCAGAGUUGAGGCAGAGACAGGACUUCUUUUUGAUGCUAUGCAAGUACAUUCACCUAUAUACGGAAAAUAACAGUUGGAAAUACUCACCAGUGAAUCCAAAAAUUAAUCUCCACAGAAGUUGUGAAUUAUGGAGUCCAACCCAUUGGCGUUGUUCAAGUAUCCGACGAGGGACUGCGGUAAACAGAUAGACGAGGGAGACUUUUACCAAGUUCUGCGGGAGAAAGAAGAUAAUGAAAGUUUGACAGAUGCCACGGAGAGAUUAUUGAGAGCCGCCCGGGCCUAUAUCUGUCAGGAAUCAGCCAAUGUGUGGAAAAACGCCGAAUUGGCCGUGCUCGGACCUAAAGACCAGAUUGUCUUUGUAUCCGGUACACAGACAAAUCGAUUUGUAGUUACCCUGGACGAGAAAGACAGGGUGAAAGUCUACUGUCGAGAAAAAAGCUGGAACGCCAUUCGAAAUGAUGCCAACAAAGAAGAACAGGGUGCAUUCGGCUGGAGGUCACUAUUAGGCAAAGUAAGCAAGAAAACGAAGCUAUCAACUCGCGAAAAUGAACAAGUCAUUCGCAAAAACAUCAACCAUCAAUUUAUGAACAAUCAGCAGUACAACCGCGCUAACGGAUAUUCAAACAGAAGACACGUGCUGCGUACA